rfam:Myotis brandtii contig57194, whole genome shotgun sequence.
GCUGGCGUUGCUAAGUGGUUAGAGUAUGGGCCCACACACCAUAGGGUCCCCGGUUCCAUUCCGAGUCAACUGCAUGUACCUGUGUUGUGGGUUCAAUCCCCACCCCCAGUA